rnacentral:rRNA from 1 species
GCAGUCGAGCGGUAGCACAGAGAGCUUGCUCUCGGGUGACGAGCGGCGGACGGGUGAGUAAUGUCUGGGAAACUGCCUGAUGGAGGGGGAUAACUACUGGAAACGGUAGCUAAUACCGCAUAAUGUCGCAAGACCAAAGUGGGGGACCUUCGGGCCUCAUGCCAUCAGAUGUGCCCAGAUGGGAUUAGCUAGUAGGUGGGGUAACGGCUCACCUAGGCGACGAUCCCUAGCUGGUCUGAGAGGAUGACCAGCCACACUGGAACUGAGACACGGUCCAGACUCCUACGGGAGGCAGCAGUGGGGAAUAUUGCACAAUGGGCGCAAGCCUGAUGCAGCCAUGCCGCGUGUGUGAAGAAGGCCUUCGGGUUGUAAAGCACUUUCAGCGGGGAGGAAGGCGUUAAGGUUAAUAACCUUGGCGAUUGACGUUACCCGCAGAAGAAGCACCGGCUAACUCCGUGCCAGCAGCCGCGGUAAUACGGAGGGUGCAAGCGUUAAUCGGAAUUACUGGGCGUAAAGCGCACGCAGGCGGUCUGUCAAGUCGGAUGUGAAAUCCCCGGGCUCAACCUGGGAACUGCAUUCGAAACUGGCAGGCUAGAGUCUUGUAGAGGGGGGUAGAAUUCCAGGUGUAGCGGUGAAAUGCGUAGAGAUCUGGAGGAAUACCGGUGGCGAAGGCGGCCCCCUGGACAAAGACUGACGCUCAGGUGCGAAAGCGUGGGGAGCAAACAGGAUUAGAUACCCUGGUAGUCCACGCCGUAAACGAUGUCGAUUUGGAGGUUGUGCCCUUGAGGCGUGGCUUCCGGAGCUAACGCGUUAAAUCGACCGCCUGGGGAGUACGGCCGCAAGGUUAAAACUCAAAUGAAUUGACGGGGGCCCGCACAAGCGGUGGAGCAUGUGGUUUAAUUCGAUGCAACGCGAAGAACCUUACCUGGUCUUGACAUCCACAGAACUUUCCAGAGAUGGAUUGGUGCCUUCGGGAACUGUGAGACAGGUGCUGCAUGGCUGUCGUCAGCUCGUGUUGUGAAAUGUUGGGUUAAGUCCCGCAACGAGCGCAACCCUUAUCCUUUGUUGCCAGCGGUCAGGCCGGGAACUCAAAGGAGACUGCCAGUGAUAAACUGGAGGAAGGUGGGGAUGACGUCAAGUCAUCAUGGCCCUUACGACCAGGGCUACACACGUGCUACAAUGGCAUAUACAAAGAGAAGCGACCUCGCGAGAGCAAGCGGACCUCAUAAAGUAUGUCGUAGUCCGGAUUGGAGUCUGCAACUCGACUCCAUGAAGUCGGAAUCGCUAGUAAUCGUAGAUCAGAAUGCUACGGUGAAUACGUUCCCGGGCCUUGUACACACCGCCCGUCACACCAUGGGAGUGGGUUGCAAAAGAAGUAGGUAGCUUAACCUUCGGGAGGGCGCUAC